CCUACGGGAGGCAGCAGUGGGGAAUAUUGCACAAUGGGGGAAACCCUGAUGCAGCGACGCCGCGUGAGUGAAGAAGUAAUUCGUUAUGUAAAGCUCUAUCAGCAGGGAAGAAAAUGACGGUACCUGAGUAAGAAGCCGCGGCUAACUACGUGCCAGCAGCCGGGGCAAUACGGAGGGGGCAAGCGUUAUCCGGAUUUACUGGGGGUAAAGGGAGCGUAGACGGAAGUGGAAGUCUGGAGUGAAAGGCGGGGGCUCAACCCCCGGACUGCUCUGGAAACUGUACGGCUGGAGUGCAGGAGAGGUAAGUGGAAUGCCUAGUGUAGCGGUGAAAUGCGUAGAUAUUAGGAGGAACACCAGUGGCGAAGGCAGCUUACUGGACUGUAACUGACGUUGAGGCUCGAAAGCGUGGGGAGCAAACAGGAUUAGAUACCCCGGUAGUC
rnacentral:rRNA from 1 species